rnacentral:rRNA from 1 species
ACGCUGGCGGCAGGCCUAACACAUGCAAGUCGAGCGGUAGAGAGAAGCUUGCUUCUCUUGAGAGCGGCGGACGGGUGAGUAAUGCCUAGGAAUCUGCCUGGUAGUGGGGGAUAACGCUCGGAAACGGACGCUAAUACCGCAUACGUCCUACGGGAGAAAGCAGGGGACCUUCGGGCCUUGCGCUAUCAGAUGAGCCUAGGUCGGAUUAGCUAGUUGGUGAGGUAAUGGCUCACCAAGGCGACGAUCCGUAACUGGUCUGAGAGGAUGAUCAGUCACACUGGAACUGAGACACGGUCCAGACUCCUACGGGAGGCAGCAGUGGGGAAUAUUGGACAAUGGGCGAAAGCCUGAUCCAGCCAUGCCGCGUGUGUGAAGAAGGUCUUCGGAUUGUAAAGCACUUUAAGUUGGGAGGAAGGGCAGUUACCUAAUACGUAUCUGUUUUGACGUUACCGACAGAAUAAGCACCGGCUAACUCUGUGCCAGCAGCCGCGGUAAUACAGAGGGUGCAAGCGUUAAUCGGAAUUACUGGGCGUAAAGCGCGCGUAGGUGGUUUGUUAAGUUGGAUGUGAAAUCCCCGGGCUCAACCUGGGAACUGCAUUCAAAACUGACAAGCUAGAGUAUGGUAGAGGGUGGUGGAAUUUCCUGUGUAGCGGUGAAAUG